CGGGUGGAAAAUGAGAACCCUAAUAUGAUAAAAAAAUUUCUAGUGGGUGCUGCAGUCCCAUCGAUGCCAUGUACCUCACCUAAUAGUUAUUGAUAAUAUGCACAUCAAUGCAUGGAUAAUUCUUUGCCUAGAUGCUUCUCUGAGUAUAUUUCAGCGACUUAGUCUCUAAGUCAUGUGGGCUCACCUAACAGUUAUUGACUACACUUCUUAGUUAAGCCCGACCCACCAUUCACAAGCAGGUGCAAGGCCAUCAUUGGGUCCCUCAUCUAAUAAUUGUUGAGCCCA
rnacentral:lncRNA from 1 species